rnacentral:rRNA from 1 species
UACGGGGGGGGCAAGCGUUGUUCGGAAUUACUGGGCGUAAAGGGCGCGUAGGCGGCCUGCUAAGUCGGAUGUGAAAUCCCUCGGCUCAACCGAGGAACUGCAUCCGAUACUGGCGGGCUUGAAUCCGGGAGAGGGAUGUGGAAUUCCAGGUGUAGCGGUGAAAUGCGUAGAUAUCUGGAGGAACACCGGUGGCGAAGGCGGCAUCCUGGACCGGCAUUGACGCUGAGGCGCGAAAGCUAGGGGAGCAACGGG